rnacentral:lncRNA from 1 species
UAAAAUUUAAUUUAGAUCUUAUAACAAUGUCAUCACAAAGACCAUUCCCAGAAACUACUAAAGCAACUCCUUUCAAUCCUAAAAACAAUUUCAAACUCAAUCGAAUCACCUAUUGUAACAAAGAUUAAAAACGCACUCAUAUAAACACUUAAAAAUAAAAUCAGGUUACAAGUAAACAAAUAUAACACAGAUUAUAACGAAAAUCUCAAUUGAUUAAAGACAAGAUCCAAAAACAUGUAGUUCAAAAGAGUCAUAACCCUAUAUAAAAAAAAUUCGAGAAAUUGAAACUUAAACGAAAGUGAAACACUAGAAAAGACGCGCUGAGAAUUGGUAGACUACUUGGAUCUCUGCCUCAUCUUUCUGCGCUUCCUCUUCAACCUCCUCAUACGCUUCUUCUUCCACUGUUACACAUGAUUAAAUUAGUCAUACAUUUUAAAACUAGUAUCUGUUAUGAACGAAUAAUCUCAACCAAAUAUUUACCUUAGCUCUCAUGGUUGAAAGAGAAACUCUGAUGACAGAAUCACCUGGAAAUCCGCAACGAUGAGAUUGCAGCGGUGAGAAUGAACCCUAGGGUUUGCUUUUUUAUAUUGCAGCCCUUACUGAUUUAAAUAGGCCGUGGACUUCAAAUCCAAGCGGUGAGAAUAGGCCAAGCCCAUUAUGAGGUCCAACUUUCAGUACCUCUCACAUCUCCUCCCCUAAAUUU